GUUCUUCCAGGGAAUCCCUUUCUCCUGCCGCUACACUUGCCUCCUCUGCUGGUCGGGUUCCAGCAGCGCAUCGUGAGCACGCUGCCUCCAGUCUAACAGGGCCCUUUCUGACUUGGCAUUUCUGGCUCCUCCAGUCCUGUUGUUAAAGCGCGCUGGCGGAGCACCUCAGCCCCGGCCCCUUCACCCCCACCCGAUGCGACUGGUCCAGAGAUCCCACUUACCUCCUCCUCCUCCUCCUCAGCUCCCUCUCUUCCAUACGCGGCAUGCAGAAGAGAGCGCAGAGAGGCCGCAUCUGGUCACCAUCAUCC
ensembl:lncRNA